rnacentral:rRNA from 1 species
GACGAACGCUGGCGGCGUGCUUAACACAUGCAAGUCGAACGGAAAGGCCCUGCUUUUGUGGGGUGCUCGAGUGGCGAACGGGUGAGUAACACGUGAGUAACCUGCCCUUGACUUUGGGAUAACUUCAGGAAACUGGGGCUAAUACCGGAUAGGAGCUCCUGCUGCAUGGUGGGGGUUGGAAAGUUUCGGCGGUUGGGGAUGGACUCGCGGCUUAUCAGCUUGUUGGUGGGGUAGUGGCUUACCAAGGCUUUGACGGGUAGCCGGCCUGAGAGGGUGACCGGCCACAUUGGGACUGAGAUACGGCCCAGACUCCUACGGGAGGCAGCAGUGGGGAAUAUUGCACUAUGGGCUGAAGCCUGAUGCAGCAACGCCGCGUGCGGGAUGACGGCCUUCGGGUUGUAAACCGCUUUCGCCUGUGACGAAGCGUGAGUGACGGUAAUGGGUAAAGAAGCACCGGCUAACUACGUG